rnacentral:lncRNA from 1 species
UGCACUCACAUAUAUAUAAUAUUCCUCUUCGUAGGAAGAAAAAUAAUUUAAAAAAAAAAAUAUUAUGCUCGGAAAAAUUUUCAUAAACCGGCAUCAUUCGAUUUCUCGAUAAAAAUAAACUGCACUUGCUUUGUAAACUUAAUAAAAAUUCCAAGUGCUAAGGUCUCAAAUAAAAAUCAUAAUAACUCGGUCACAGUGACACACAUCACGAAAAUCACAUAAUCAUUCAGUCAUGUAAAUUCACAUAACAUCACAUCAAAAUAGUCGGCAGGCUCAAAUAAGCUAGACGUCUCUCUGACCGACUCUAUUUAUCGAAGAUUCUCACUCUUUCUUCCUCGACUCUAUUUCCAACUCAGUAUUCCUAUUUUUCUUAAUAGGACAGUCAAUCUCUAAUAAAUCAGUAUCCGGUAACUCUAUUCCCGGUAGUUGGAAAUAAAAUAAAAUAAAAUCUCAGCUUAAAAUCAAUCAGCAUCUCUAUCUCAACUCAUUUCUCAAAUCUCAUCACUCUAAUUCCAUCAUCGGUUUAUUCACUCGUAUCUCUAUUUAAAAGACAAUCCGUCUUAUCUGCUCAUAAAAAAAAAUAGUCUCGUAAUUCGACAUCUCGGUACUCUUAUUAGUGUUAAGACACUAUCUCACAACA